rnacentral:antisense_RNA from 1 species
GAGGAAGAGAAGGAGGAGAAGGAGGAGGAGGAGAAAGUGGCUCUCAGCGGCCGGUCGGAUUAAAAGUAACCAGACUCGUCCAGAAAACUGCGUCCAGGAAGGAAGUGACAGAAGACGAAUGGGAAAAGGAGAACAGCUCACAGCGUUUGAAACAUCGCGGCACCACUUUCAGAUAAAAACAUAGACCUGAAUGGCAUCAUCCAGUAUCCAAGGAAACCAUGCUUGCUUGAAGAGUGAGCAGGUGAGCAAAGAGACAAGAUUACAUGUUUAAACCAAGAAAAGAAUUUUGAAAAAGCAUUGAAAAGAACAACUUUCAAGUCAAAAGAAUCAAGGUGAAGAGAAUGGAUACUCAUGCCCAUGUGAAUUUGCUGCCCCAAGUCUACUGGAGGAUCAAGCUGCAGGUUUCAAUAGCUAUAGCCUGAAGAAUCUCUGUAAUGAACUAAAACAAUCAGUAAAAGAUCAGUUGCAGUGGAAGACAUUAUACUCUAGAUUUUUCUAGGAUUAUUAAAUUUGAAAAUGAUUUAUUCCAAAUUUUAACUUAGCUUUUAAUUUUACUAGUGUCAAAAUGUUGUUCUACUUUGGACAACUGAUUUUUCCAAUAGAGAGUCAAUAGCAUCUUUGCAGGGUGGUUUAAAAGCCAAUAAUUUAAUCCAUAUUCUACUAAAACUUUUAAUAUAAGCAUUUUACCCAGAUGUAUUUUUUCCUUGUUUUAGAAAAUCUGAUUUUAAUUGCUAAAACUCGUUUUUAAAUAUUAAUUCAAUGAAAGAAAUGCUAUGGUUUUCUACUUUUUUAUUUCUUAAACUCAAGGGAAAACAUGGGUGAAAAACA